ACGGGUGAGUAAUGCAUCGGAACGUGCCCAGUAGUGGGGGAUAGCCCGGCGAAAGCCGGAUUAAUACCGCAUACGACCUACGGGUGAAAGGGGGGGAUCGCAAGACCUCUCGCUAUUGGAGCGGCCGAUGUCAGAUUAGGUAGUUGGUGGGGUAAAGGCCUACCAAGCCGACGAUCUGUAGCUGGUCUGAGAGGACGACCAGCCACACUGGGACUGAGACACGGCCCAGACUCCUACGGGAGGCAGCAGUGGGGAAUUUUGGACAAUGGGCGCAAGCCUGAUCCAGCCAUGCCGCGUGCGGGAAGAAGGCCUUCGGGUUGUAAACCGCUUUUGUCAGGGAAGAAAUCUUCUGAGUUAAUACCUCGGGAGGAUGACGGUACCUGAAGAAUAAGCACCGGCUAACUACGUGCCAGCAGCCGCGGUAAUACGUAGGGUGCAAGCGUUAAUCGGAAUUACUGGGCGUAAAGCGUGCGCAGGCGGUUAUGUAAGACAGAUGUGAAAUCCCCGGGCUCAACCUGGGAACUGCAUUUGUGACUGCAUAGCUAGAGUGCGGCAGAGGGGGAUGGAAUUCCGCGUGUAGCAGUGAAAU
rnacentral:rRNA from 1 species